rnacentral:rRNA from 1 species
CCGAAAGGCAGGAGUGCCUGCAAGGGAGCGCGGAGACAGGUGGUGCAUGGCUGUCGUCAGCUCGUGUCGUGAGAUGUUGGGUUAAGUCCCGCAACGAGCGCAACCCUCACCUCUUGUUGCCAUCAGGUCAUGCUGGGCACUCUAGAGGAACUGCCCCGGUCAACGGGGAGGAAGGCGGGGAUGACGUCAAGUCAUCAUGCCCCUUACGUCCUGGGCUACACACGUGCUACAAUGGCCGGUACAAAGGGAUGCCACACCGCGAGGUAGAGCUAAACCCAAAAAGCCGGUCUAAGUUCAGAUUGGAGUCUGCAACUCGACUCCAUGAAGGAGGAAUCGCUAGUAAUCGCGUAUCAGCACGACGCGGUGAAUACGUUCCCGGGCCUUGUACACACCGCCCGUCACACCACGAAAGCCAG